CAUACAGCCCGCCCCCACCCCUCCUCCUUCCCUUCCCCUGCGGCUGCAGCCGCCUCCUCCCCACACCCCAGUGACCCCACCACACCCGCCCCGUGCAGCCGCCGCGUCGCCGCCUUCCCAGGACCGGCCCAGCCGCCCGAGGCGCCGCCCCGGAUCUCUCUCGUAGCAGGCCAGCCCCAACGCUGCCAAGAUCUUUGUGAGAAAGUUGAAAUACAUCUUGCUUCUUGCAGCCGAGCGAGUCUCGAAGGAGACGCGGUGGUUUCUUUGGGCUCAGAAAUUGUUUCUUUCUCCUUGUUUCCUCAUAUUGUUUGCUCUCUUGUUUGCCUGUGAUUUUAGUGUACAUCUCUGAAUGUCUAUUUUUUGGAUCUUUGCCAUGGUCUUGAAACAUUUGAUUGAUUUUGCUUGGAGUGAUCUGGUACCACAUUGUUGGGAUGAUCUUUAGUUUUUCGCUGGAAAUAGGUUAUCUGAAUUCCUAAAAAUUUAUGAUGUGAAUGGACACAGCCAUGGCUCAGGUAGUCAGGUUGUACCUUCUGUAAUAUUAUCCUGAUGAUAUCCUCUACUUAAAUUAUGAGGGUUCUGAACUGGCCACUGUCCAAUUUCUCUGAAUAGCUACCGGUGCCUUGAUUGUCAAUUUGUCAUACAUCUAAAAAACCUAACUGUUCAUCUUCCGUGGAGUUUUUAAAUGCUGCAUAUUACAUUCCUGUUCUUCUAAUUUUGUACUCAUGUUAAAGCUUUGUUUCUACAGAAAAUUGAAUUAAUGAUACUUCAUGUGAAUGGUGAUCAAACCUUACCACAUAAACAGUUGUUUGUGUUUUGUCCAAAUUUCUAUCUGCAUAGAAGGCAACGAGGUGUAUUGUUACAAAGCUAUGCAAGAAAAGAAAUUAACACCGAGCUGCCAUGGUUUUUAUGUUCACACCAUUCUUAUCUCAGAAUCUCGCUUAUUUCAGCAACUAUAAUUUACAUGACUUGUUUUAUGUUCAUUUAUAUGUAUCUAAUUUCUUUAUAUGUUUACUGGUAGAACAAGUCCGGUUUGAAUCUGUUUUUUGGGGCAGCUGAAUCCCAAAAAUCAUAUGGUACUUAUGCUUCCUCGUCAAAAGAAAGUUAUCUCCUAACCGAUCAGAUGGUAUGGAUACUCCAACCGUUAGUGGUGAUGUGACUUAUGUACGGUUUUAUUGCAUAUUAGAGAACGAUAUUUUGGCCAAUAGUCUCUUCUCGAAUACAAAUAUAUAUUUGCAAGUCUGUAAUCCUUAUUAAUGAUCAACCAUAUUAUUUUCUUCAUUGCAAGAUAUGGUUCUUCUUUGCAAUUGAUUGGGAUUUGCUCAACUCUGGUUUGUUGUUUGUUGCAGGAUGCCUGUAACCUAAUGAUGGAUUAGUUUGCUCUCGGAGUAUUCUCCGAUCACGUGCUUUUGUUUGUCUUAAGGCUAGAUCCAUCAGGAGUUCCUAGGAGACUCUUCAGUCCACUUCCCUGGGAGCCAAGAGCCAAGAAAAUGCACUACUAGGAUGGAACCUAAAAAUGCCCCCAUUUGUACGGUAAGCGAGCGCUUUGACGGUGAUUGUUGAGUACUUCUCAGUACUUUUCAGUACUUCUGCCGAAAUUAAUUCUGACCGUUGAUCUCUAACUAUGCGCUACUUGUGUAAAAUGGUAACAAGAUUGGCUGAUUUAACACAGUUAAUUACGACGGCCGUUAUAGGUGGUGAGCUUUGCCUUUGAUAUCUAGGAAGCCGGCCGGCCGGCUGAGCUUGCCGUCAGCCCACGCCAUCGAUGGCAAAACUUGCGCAUGACAACGAGAGAUGUAACGAUGGGAACCGACAAACUCGUCUUAAUUAUCUGGCCAAACAUCGUGCGCGACCAAUUUCGGGAUCUCUCUUCCUUGACUCUCUCCGAUCUCUUAAAGCCAGUUGUUUAAGGUCCCAAUACUAAUUCGGCCCCACAACAGAGAUGGCAGGGUGGAAGGGAGAAGUUACAGAGGAGAGAUUUACGGGAGAAAUUUAAGGGAAUUAUUGCCCUCAUUAAAGGGAGAUACCGGGACGGAGUACUUUCCGAUACUUUUCAGUACUUUUGUUUCGGUACUUUCCAGUACUUCCUAUUUCUCCACCGUUCGAUCAAUUAGGUUGGACGGUCUCUAAAAUUGCCAAUCACUGUAAAACUUUGUAUGGUAUGGAUGUGCUUCAGUUUUCUUUUUGCUUGUUAA